rnacentral:rRNA from 1 species
GAUGAACGCUGGCGGCGUGCCUAAUACAUGCAAGUCGAGCGAACAGACGAGGAGCUUGCUCCUCUGACGUUAGCGGCGGACGGGUGAGUAACACGUGGAUAACCUACCUAUAAUACUGGGAUAACUUCGGGAAACCGGAGCUAAUACCGGAUAAUCUCUUGAACCGCAUGGUUCAAUAGUGAAAUACGGUUUUUCUGUCACUUAUAGAUGGAUCCGCGCCGCAUUAGCUAGUUGGUAAGGUAACGGCUUACCAAGGCAACGAUGCGUAGCCGACCUGAGAGGGUGAUAGGCGACACGGGAACGGAGACACGGUCAAGACGCCUAAGGGAGGCAGCAGUAGGGAAUCGUCCGCAAUGGGCGAAAGCAUGACGGAGCAACGGCGCGUGAGUGAUGAAGGUCUUCGGAUCGUAAAAAUGUGUUAUGAGGGAAGAACAAAUGUGUAAGUAAAUAUGCACGUCUUGACGGUACCGAAUCAGAAAGCAACGGCUAACUACGUG